rnacentral:tRNA from 2 species
GGAGAGAUGGCUGAGUGGUUGAAAGCACCGCACUCGAAAUGCGGCAUAGGGGUGACUCUAUCGAGGGUUCAAAUCCCUCUCUCUCCGCCA